AGAGCUUGGAAUUUGAAGCCAACGUAAAGUCCACGGCCCCACAAGAUUCUCUACCCACCACCACCACCACCGCCAUUACCAAUUUUUCUUCAGCACAGUCUUCAUUUUCAUCUUCUUCCUCAACCCUCCGUUUCUCAAUCCCUCUCUUUCUCUGCAGGGCCCCACUCUCACCAACCUCCACAACGUCAAUUUCAAGUUGAAAAUGGGAAGCAAGGCACCAAGCUGGGCUGAUCAGUGGGGUUCAGGCAAUUACGGAGUCGAAGACGACGAUAAGAUGGUGGCGAAGAAAGGGAGCGGCAAUGGCAGUAGUAGCAAGAAGAUGACAGAGGUAAAGGCAGCAGCCUCAGCUGGAUUUGUGAAGGCGAAGGCUGUCGCAGCUGUAGGUGCUCAAAAAGUGAAAUCUGGAACUUCAGUAGGCAUCAAAUGGGUCAAGAAUCAGUACCAGAAAAAGGUCUCCAAAUGACUCUACAAAUUCAUGUCUCUAAGCAUUGACCAUUUUUUCUUUAACUUUCUCUCAAACCCAUCUUGUCAUCUGAUAAUUAUUUGGUUUCCUACAUUUUGUCAAACUCAUCAAUCGAUCUAAAAAAGUAGACAGAUUUUUCAGUGAA